rnacentral:rRNA from 1 species
UCGAGCGGCAGCGCGUCUAGUUUACUAGAUGGCGGCGAGCGGCGGACGGCUGAGUAACGCGUGGGAACAUGCCCCAAAGUGAGGGAUAACGCACCGAAAGGUGUGCUAAUACCGCAUAUGGUCUUCGGAUUAAAGGAUUUAUCCGCUUUGGGAGUGGCCCGCGUACGAUUAGAUUGUUGGUGAGGUAACGGCUCACCAAGUCGACGAUCGUUAACUGGUCUGAGAGGAUGAUCAGUCAGACUGGGACUGAGACACGGCCCAGACUCCUACGGGAGGCAGCAGUAGGGAAUUUUCCACAAUGGGCGAAAGCCUGAUGGAGCAACGCCGCGUGCAGGAUGAAUGCCUUCGGGUUGUAAACUGCUUUUAUAUGUGACGAAUAUGACGGUAGCAUAUGAAUAAGGAUCGGCUAACUCCGUGCCAGCAGCCGCGGUCAUACGGAGGAUCCAAGCGUUAUCCGGAAUUACUGGGCGUAAAGACUUGCGUAGGCGGCAUAGUAAGCAGAUAGUGAAAGCGUGUGGCUCAACCAUACUCACAUUAUCUGAACUGCUAAGCUAGAGGACGAGAGAGGUCACUGGAAUUCCUAGUGUAGGAGUGAAAUCCGUAGA